AUUUGCUCAAAAUCACUUUUGGCCAUUUUGCUAAAAGCUGUCAAACUACCAAAAAACCUAGCCUUGCACUGUAUUUUUUCACCCUCCAUUCAUCACUUUGGAACCCUGCUAGCACCACCUAACACAGCCAAAAAGCCUUGGUGCUCUCUCUCUCAAAAGAUCACAUUUUGGCCAAGAUCAUUUUCUGUCCAAAAAUCUCCAAAGGAACAAAUGCCUGGCCCUGCUUGAC
rnacentral:lncRNA from 1 species